rnacentral:rRNA from 1 species
UACGUAGGGUGCAAGCGUUGUCCGGAAUUAUUGGGCGUAAAGAGCUCGUAGGCGGUCUGUCGCGUCUGCUGUGAAAACUCAGGGCUUAACCCUGAGCUUGCAGUGGGUACGGGCAGACUAGAGUGCGGUAGGGGAGACUGGAAUUCCUGGUGUAGCGGUGAAAUGCGCAGAUAUCAGGAGGAACACCGGUGGCGAAGGCGGGUCUCUGGGACGGUACUGACGCUGAGACGCGAAAGCGUGGGGAGCAAACAGG